GGCGAACGGGUGAGUAACACGUGAGCAAUCUGCCCCUGACUCUGGGAUAAGCGCUGGAAACGGCGUCUAAUACCGGAUAUGAGCUACGGCCGCAUGGUCGGUAGUUGGAAAGAAUUUCGGUCAGGGAUGAGCUCGCGGCCUAUCAGCUUGUUGGUGAGGUAAUGGCUCACCAAGGCGUCGACGGGUAGCCGGCCUGAGAGGGUGACCGGCCACACUGGGACUGAGACACGGCCCAGACUCCUACGGGAGGCAGCAGUGGGGAAUAUUGCACAAUGGGCGCAAGCCUGAUGCAGCAACGCCGCGUGAGGGAUGACGGCCUUCGGGUUGUAAACCUCUUUUAGCGAGGAAGAAGCGAAAGUGACGGUACUCGCAGAAAAAGCGCCGGCUAACUACGUGCCAGCAGCCGCGGUAAUACGUAGGGCGCAAGCGUUAUCCGGAAUUAUUGGGCGUAAAGAGCUCGUAGGCGGUUUGUCGCGUCUGCUGUGAAAACUGGAGGCUCAACCUCCAGCCUGCAGUGGGUACGGGCAGACUAGAGUGCGG
rnacentral:rRNA from 1 species